GAUGAACGCUAGCGGCAGGCUUAAUACAUGCAAGUCGAGGGGCAGCAUGAAUGUAGCAAUACAUUUGAUGGCGACCGGCAAACGGGUGCGGAACACGUACACAACCUUCCUAUAAGUGGGGAAUAGCCCAGAGAAAUUUGGAUUAAUACCCCGUAACAUAAUGAUGUGGCAUCAUAUUAUUAUUAUAGCUACGGCGCUUAUUGAUGGGUGUGCGGCUGAUUAGAUAGUUGGCGGGGUAACGGCCCACCAAGUCUACGAUCAGUAGCUGAUGUGAGAGCAUGAUCAGCCACACGGGCACUGAGACACGGGCCCGACUCCUACGGGAGGCAGCAGUAAGGAAUAUUGGUCAAUGGACGCAAGUCUGGACCAGCCAUGCCGCGUGAAGGAUUAAGGUCCUCUGGAUUGCAAACUUCUUUUAUCUGGGACGAAAAAAGGCGAUUCUUCGUCACUUGACGGUACCAGAUGAAUAAGCACCGGCUAACUCCGUGCCAGCCGCCGCAGUAAUAC
rnacentral:rRNA from 1 species